GAUGAAGAACGCAGCGAAAUGCGAUAAGUAAUAUGAAUUGCAGAAUUCAGUGAAUCAUCGAAUCUUUGAACGCACAUUGCGCCCGCCAGUAUUCUGGCGGGCAUGCCUGUCUGAGCGUCAUUUCAACCCUCAUGCCCCUAGGGCGUGGUGUUGGGGAUCGGCCAAAGCCCGCGAGGGACGGCCGGCCCCUAAAUCUAGUGGCGGACCCGUCGUGGCCUCCUCUGCGAAGUAGUGAUAUUCCGCAUCGGAGAGCGAUGAGCCCCUGCCGUUAAACCCCCAACUUUCCAAGGUUGACCUCAGAUCAGGUAGGAAUACCCGCUGAACUUAAGCAUAUCAAUAAGCGGAGGA
rnacentral:misc_RNA from 1 species